rnacentral:tRNA from 1 species
GGAGAAAUGGCAGAGUGGUUUAUUGCGACGAUCCCGAAAAUCGUUUUAGUUAUAGUUAACGAGGGUUCGAAUCCCUCUUUCUCCG